GAUGAACGCUAGCGACAGGCUUAACACAUGCAAGUCGAGGGGCAGCAUAAAAGUAGCAAUACUUUGGUGGCGACCGGCGCACGGGUGAGUAACGCGUAUGCAACCUACCUAUCAGAGGGGAAUAACCCGGCGAAAGUCGGACUAAUACCGCAUAAAACAGGGGCACCGCAUGGUGAUAUUUGUUAAAGAAAUUCGCUGAUAGAUGGGCAUGCGUUCCAUUAGGUAGUUGGUGAGGUAACGGCUCACCAAGCCGACGAUGGAUAGGGGAACUGAGAGGUUGGUCCCCCACACUGGUACUGAGACACGGACCAGACUCCUACGGGAGGCAGCAGUGAGGAAUAUUGGUCAAUGGGCGAGGGCCUGAACCAGCCAAGUCGCGUGAAGGAAGAAGGAUCUAUGGUUCGUAAACUUCUUUUGCAGGGGAAUAAAGUGCGGGACGUGUCCUGUUUUGUAUGUACCUUAUGAAUAAGGAUCGGCUAACUACGUGCCAGCAGCCGCAGUAA
rnacentral:rRNA from 1 species